CAAGGCACAAACAGAGCCCAGUCUCCACUGGAGCCCUGCAGGACUACAGGAACGAGUAAAGCAUGGCAAUAGAAGGUAACAGUGAUGCUGUUGUUGCUGCUCUACAAAUGGUCAGUAAACAGACAGCGAGGCUAAGCGAUGCACCCCAGAUCAUGCAGAAGUCUAACGGAGCAAGACCAUACUUAGCUAUUUCCAGAGGGAUUACAGAAACAACCAAGCUAACCUUGGAGCCAAAAGCAUGGUGCAGAGACAUCCUAAUUGUCUCCCUGUGAAACAGUCUGGCUCUUGGCACUGUCCUGCCAUGU